CCCAAGUAGUGCAACAGGAGGUAUGCGGUCAGCCAGUCUAGGCCUGACUCAGGGAACUGGACGCCCCUGCCAUGCAUAGUCCCCUGAGAUGUCUCAUGUUUCAUGUUUCAUGGCUAAUUGGGCUUGGGACGCAAGCUCAGGUUUGAUCAUCCUGUAGCUGGCCGCCUCUGGAGAGGGUGUAUAGUGUUAAGGGCCGAAACACCCUAUGACCCAGAGGAACACUACUGAUGAUGUGUACCCAUAAAUUGAAUUCCUCUUCAGGACUAGGGUUUGUUCACAAA